UACGUAGGUGGCAAGCGUUGUCCGGAUUUACGGGGCGUAAAGAGCGCGCAGGCGGUCGUGCAAGUCGCGUGUGAAAGCCCCCGGCUCAACUGGGGAGGGUCACGCGAUACUGCUCGACUCGAAGGCAGGAGAGGGAAGUGGAAUUCCCGGUGUAGUGGUGAAAUGCGUAGAUAUCGGGAGGAACACCAGUGGCGAAGGCGACUUCCUGGCCUGUUCUUGACGCUGAGGCGCGAGAGCUAGGGUAGCAAACGGG
rnacentral:rRNA from 1 species